rnacentral:misc_RNA from 1 species
UAGGAAUCCGUAGGUGAACCUGUCAGGAGGAGAAUAUCAAUAAGCGGAAGAAACCCCGUUAGGGGAGCCAGGGCCAGUUCUGAAUAGAGGGCACCGCUGCCAGCAGUAUAGUCUCACCACUAUAAAACUCUUUUAUUAUUUUCUAGAUUUUUCAUUGCUGAGUGGCAUAACUAUAAAAAAGUUAAAACUUUCAACAACGGAUCUCUUGGCUCUAGCAUCGAUGAAGAACGCAGCGAAAUGCGAUAAGUAAUGUGAAUUGCAGAAUUCAGUGAAUCAUCGAAUCUUUGAACGCACAUUGCGCCUGGCAGUAUUCUGCCAGGCAUGCCUGUCCGAGCGUCAUUUCACCACUCAAGACUCUUUUGUUCUUGGCGUUGGAGGUCCUGUUCUCCCCUGAACAGGCCGCCGAAAUGUAUCGGCUGUUAUACUUGCCAACUCCCCUGUGUAGUAUAAAAUUUCUAAUUUUUCACACUUUGAAGUUCUUGUGUAACACGCCGCUAAACCCGCUCAACUUUUGUUGAACUUUUCACAAGGUUGACCUCGGAUCAGGUAGGAAUACCCGCUGAACUUAAACAUAUCAAUAAGCAGAAGGAAAGACCCCCUGGGGUGAUUCUCCGUCCGACCGCCNCAGAUGGGACUAACAUAUUUNGAACUGAAACUAAAAGGGUGUUGGGGUAAGGAGCCUUCAA